AUUGAACGCUGGCGGCAUGCUUUACACAUGCAAGUCGAACGGCAGCGCGGGGCAACCUGGCGGCGAGUGGCGAACGGGUGAGUAACACAUCGGAACGUACCCAGAAGUGGGGGAUAACGUAGCGAAAGUUACGCUAAUACCGCAUACGUUCUACGGAAGAAAGUGGGGGAUCGCAAGACCUCAUGCUUUUGGAGCGGCCGAUGUCUGAUUAGCUAGUUGGUGAGGUAAAGGCUCACCAAGGCGACGAUCAGUAGCUGGUCUGAGAGGACGACCAGCCACACUGGGACUGAGACACGGCCCAGACUCCUACGGGAGGCAGCAGUGGGGAAUUUUGGACAAUGGGCGCAAGCCUGAUCCAGCAAUGCCGCGUGAGUGAAGAAGGCCUUCGGGUUGUAAAGCUCUUUUGUCAGGGAAGAAACGGCUGGGGCUAAUAUCCCCGGCUAAUGACGGUACCUGAAGAAUAAGCACCGGCUAACUACGUGCCAGCCGCCGCGGUAACAC
rnacentral:rRNA from 1 species